rnacentral:rRNA from 1 species
CAGCAGCCACGGUAAUACGUAGGUGGCAAGCGCUGUCCGGAAUUAUUGGGCGUAAAGGGCUCGCAGGCGGUUUCUUAAGUCUGAUGUGAAAGCCCCCGGCUCAACCGGGGAGGGUCAUUGGAAACUGGGAAACUUGAGUGCAGAAGAGGAGAGUGGAAUUCCACGUGUAGCGGUGAAAUGCGUAGAGAUGUGGAGGAACACCAGUGGCGAAGGCGACUCUCUGGUCUGUAACUGACGCUGAGGAGCGAAAGCGUGGGGAGCAAACAGGAUUAGAUACCCCAGUAGUCCCUGUCUCUUAUAC